AUCUUGCCUGUCAUUUCUUUGGUAUCAGGUAUUAGGUAAGGAAAUAUCGUCAGAGUCAUGUUUAUUUCAUUAUUUUAGAUUGACAUUGGUGAUACAAAAUCUGAUCUCGUACGGACGUAAUAACAAAACUAUUUGGAGUUUCAUUGUAAACUGUGCUAACUUAUUCUAGACAAUCAAGAGAUGCCAUCCUAGUGAAUCUUAUAACAGACUUUUGUGUUCUUAUAAAUGGAAACUAACCGACGCUUGGUGAUUGGAAUAGGAAAAUGUUAGUACAUGUAAAAAUGUCCCUCGAAGAUUAUGUAGAGAAACUAAUUCUGAUGACGUGCUAUUUGAAGUCCUGUGAUGUAAAAUCGACAUUGCAAGAUAUUGCCAUAUCCUGUAGUGGUAAAAAAGACAUAAUUCAAUUAUAUUGAAACCACUGGGCUGUAUGCAAGACCUUUGUUAUUCCUUGAAAUUAAAUGGCAAGGCAAGGGAUCCACAGCUUCGAGAAACUAUUUGACGUGCUAUUGUUUGUUAAUGAUCUUUUUACUUCUUCGAAAUUCCGACAAGAAUGAUUUUGUUCAGCUCGAGACGAACAGGAACAGACAUCAAUUUGAAAAUUACACCAUAUAUCGUGACAAUUGAUCUCUGACAUUCAGGUAUUUUCCCCGAAAAUGUCAAAGAUGGUAAAAGGUGUGUGUUAUAUAUAAACAUUAUGUUUGGUCACUUUAUAUUGCCGAUGCAGAGCGUGGCUGUAACCGUAAAUAACAUUGCAACUGAAUAUUACCAUCAUGAAUGUCUCGCAGGUAACAGACUACGAUCUCGAGUCCUAUGAUAUUUCGGUAGAUGUGUACAGUGUUGUUGUACCCUUAACUUUUGUUUUAGUUAUUUUUGUACUACUUUUAUUUAUCAUUGCUCAUAUUCUAAGGUAAAUUAAAGUCUUGGAGUCACGACUACAGAAACGGUAUGUGCUAAUUGCAAUACAUAUGGUUUUACUUGUCAAAUCCCUUGAAUGUCUCAAAAUAUUCAAAAUGUUGAGUAACAAAUUAGUGUAUGACGAAAAGUUUUCGUAUAUCAUGGAUGGCUGCUUCUAAAAUGUCAAAGUAAAUAGAGGAUAUUUGUUUGUUUCAGUAUAUGAUUGAAAUAUAUUUCACGAGUGAAAGCCAUAUGUACUAUUUUCAGGAGAGGUACAGCCACGUGUAAAAUUAUAGAAUGUGGUGUUCCUGAGUCAAUGAUAGAUUGAUCUUAAAUGUACAACUAACAAAUAUUCUUUUUUUUUCUUUUUUGACUAAAUUCACCCAUGUUAUAGUUACCUGGGAAAAUAUGUUUGAUAUUUUUGACUGUAAAAAUACCAGAUAUAUUUCACUAUGAUAGUUCGAUAAUUCACUGAAAAACAUGUAUAAAAUGUUUUGACAUAUAAUCGGCACAGUUGUUUCAACUGUGUAGAUACGUUGAACAUAUUUACUGUUAAAUUUCAUUUUUUUCACAUUCAUUGAUAUUCUAACACCAAUGAUGUUUAUAUGAAAAUAUACGCUUUUUCUUUCCGUACUAAAUGUAUACUGAGUGUCAAUAUUUGAGCAUAUCGCACUAAAUAAAAUGCAUUUUGGGAUCAAGAAGAAUGUGUUCUUUUUUAAAACUCCAAAAGUAACGUACAUGUAGUUCCGAGAGGGUCGUUAUGCAACGUAUUUGAGUGCAUACCAUCCUCUAUCUCUAUCCGGAUAUAAGAGCUAUUCUUACCUCACAAUCGCUUUAUUAUGUUGCGCCGUUCACAUUGUGUUCACACUA